UUUUGUCAAAUUUUACGUAGUGAUUUAAUAUAAAUGUAACUAUUUGUAUUUCAAAUGUAAUUUAUUUGUAAAUNUAUAGACACACACACACACUUGAUAUAAGACACCAAUCAAAAAUAUAAAUCAACAAGUGGAGGAGUCACAUGCUAACCAACAAUUCCACAAAAAGAAUUUGAAAAUAGUGCCAUGGGGAAGAAAAUCAAAAUGGGGAGGCACCAGAAAAAACUUGGAAAUAAAAUGCUCAAUGUAGUUUUCAGGUACAGAGAAGAACUAGGGGUCGAGCUCCCAAGGGGAAGAGAGUUGGGGUCGCCAAACGUGAGGGGGAGAUCCUAGCUUUAAUGAUACGAAAUGACCUGUUGCACCAAUUGGCGUGAAUGGCAGAUUUACGUUAGGGAAAUGUAUGAUAUCUAUUCCUAAGAUCAUUGACUUCAAAAAUAAAUAAGCGAGAUCAUUGUAAUAUAUGUUCUAGGUUUUUUUACAAAAGGAGGAAGACCCCCGGCCUGUGCAUCUGAGCGAUGCAUGCAGUCAUUUUAUUAAUUAUUCACAAAAGACCUUCCAAAGUAAUACAACAGUAAGACUGAAGCCACCGUCUAGGCAACGUAUGUCGCUACUUCUAUAUAGUUGAUGAAGG
rnacentral:lncRNA from 1 species